CGCUGGCGGCGUGCCUAAUACAUGCAAGUCGAACGGUCUUUUCUAUGGAAGCUUGCUUCCACUGAGAAGAUAGUGGCGAACGGGUGAGUAACACGUGGGUAACCUGCCCAUAAGAGGGGGAUAACAUCCGGAAACGGGUGCUAAUACCGCAUAGUUUUCUUGAUCGCAUGAUCGGGAAAGGAAAGACGGCCUUUGUGCUGUCGCUUAUGGAUGGACCCGCGGCGUAUUAGUUAGUUGGUGAGGUAACGGCUCACCAAGACGAUGAUACGUAGCCGACCUGAGAGGGUGAUCGGCCACAUUGGGACUGAGACACGGCCCAAACUCCUACGGGAGGCAGCAGUAGGGAAUCUUCCGCAAUGGACGAAAGUCUGACGGAGCAACGCCGCGUGAGUGAAGAAGGUUUUUCCGGAUCGUAAAACUCUGUUGUCAGAGAAGAACAAGUUGGAGAGUAACUGCUCCAGCCUUGACGGUAUCUGACCAGAAAGCCACGGCUAACUACGUGCCAGCAGCCGC
rnacentral:rRNA from 1 species